GAUGAACGCUGGCGGCGUGCCUAAUACAUGCAAGUCGAGCGAACAGACGAGGAGCUUGCUCCUCUGACGUUAGCGGCGGACGGGUGAGUAACACGUGGAUACCCUACCUAUAAGACUGGGAUAACUUCGGGAAACCGGAGCUAAUACCGGAUCAUAUAUUGAACCGCAUGGUUCAAUAGUGAAAGACGGUUUUGCUGUCCCUUAUAGAUGGUUCCGCGCCGCAUUAGCUAGUUGGUAAGGUAACGGCUUACCAAGGCAACGAUGCGUAGCCGACCUGAGAGGGUGAUCGGCCACACUGGAACUGAGACACGGUCCAGACUCCUACGGGAGGCAGCAGUAGGGAAUCUUCCGCAAUGGGCGAAAGCCUGACGGAGCAACGCCGCGUGAGUGAUGAAGGUCUUCGGAUCGUAAAACUCUGUUAUUAGGGAAGAACAAAUGUGUAAGUAACUAUGCACGUCUUGACGGUACCUAAUCAGAAAGCCACGGCUAACUACGUG
rnacentral:rRNA from 1 species